rnacentral:rRNA from 1 species
UACGGAGGGGGCUAGCGUUGUUCGGAAUUACUGGGCGUAAAGCGCACGUAGGCGGACCAGCAAGUUGGGGGUGAAAUCCCGGGGCUCAACCCCGGAACUGCCUUCAAAACUGCGGGUCUGGAGGUCGAGAGAGGUGAGUGGAAUUCCGAGUGUAGAGGUGAAAUUCGUAGAUAUUAGGAAGAACACCAGUGGCGAAGGCGGCUCACUGGCCCGGUACUGACGCUGAGGUGCGAAAGCGUGGGGAGCAAACAGG